AACUCCUAAGCGACUGCCUCCCGCCGCCCAGGUCCAGUGCCCUUUACACUACACGUCGGUUGCGAGGUUGCCCAAAGAGGUUCUGCCCCCAGGGGUCCUGAGCUUGGGGAAUGGACGGGGGCGGGCCUGACGGCUCAGGCUACGGCAGAGGAAAGUGGGGAAGCACGAGGAGUUAGGCUGGUUGGCUGUAGUGGAACGCAUUUGGCGCGGGGGAAAAGGCUGGGACCGGCCACGACUCCCCCGCCCCGCACAAACGCACGCGCGCCAGCCCGGUAGCCAGGGGUCGGCCCGGGUCAGAGGGCGCCGCCUGGGAGGUGGGGCUACGCUGGGAUCCACCAGGAACUAUAGCUCUGAGACUCCGUACCCUUGAUAAUGAGGUGCGCUGAGCCCGCGGUUCCCAGGGAGUCCCUCUUCUUGCUGCCACCGCCCGGGGCGGCCUCACAACCCACAGGGGUCUCUGUCCCUCCGCCACUCAUCCCGACCGGUUCCGCCCACCCGCGGUCGCGCUGCGCCUGCGCAAACGUGGCUGCCAGCUUACAGGACGCGCGCCGGUUUUUUUGCGUCAUCACAGGGCGCCGGAGAAAUUGAAUCUACCCAGAGGGCGAUUCCGGAAAGGCGCCUGCUGUGUAGCCAGGGUGUGACCUGGCAGAAGCUCGUGCCGCCAUGCUGGAUCAGGGCGGAUGCUGCUGGAAUAGGAAGAUGUUUGAACAUUGGAGCUAAACUCAGAGCCCUGGUUAUUUGACUCAAAGCUGGUGCAUUCCAAUACAGUUGUCUUCCCUUAUCUGCUGAAAAUACAUUCCAAGACCCCCAGUGGAUACCUGAAACUGCAUAUAGUACUGAACCAUUUAAUGAAACCACAGAAAGUGAAACCUCAGCUAAAGGAGGACUAUUGUAUAGCAAAGCCAAUCAGCUGGGGGCUGUUUCCCUACUAUGCCAUGAGAGUCGCAGACUAUUCUUGCCUUUCUUUUUAGACACCUGAUUCCUUGAAUGCUUUUCUUGCUCCUUCUACCUGUUCAAUUCAGUAAACUUUAUGCUCUGUAAUAAAGAA